AAUCAUUUUUGAGAUAGACCGUUGCUAUCUAAUGAUCAUCAGUACAUGUUCAUUUUGUGAAUUACAUUUCUAGCCAUUUAAUGAUUUGACUCUAAGGUUGGUCAUUAUCCUUUGAGGGAUCAGCACACUACCAUGAUAAGUGUAUGAGAUCUAUUUCAUUUCAAGUUCUAUCCCAAACACAACUAAUUUUAAUCAAUCCUGUUGUGAAUCGAUCCUGAUCCAAUCUCGAGUGAACAUGCAUCAAGAUGAUAAUUUCAAU
rnacentral:lncRNA from 1 species